AAGCCAUAGUAAUUUUUUUAAUCCUUUGUGCACUUAAAAUGCAGACUAUACAUUUUCUUGAAUUGCUUUUGAGUUCAAUUUCUGAUAACAAUUUGUUUCAGAUUUAGGAUAAGUUUUUUCCUUGGAUAUUAAAAGAGUGUACAACCUUUCCCUAGUUCUACAAAAUAAGUCUACUGUAUUUAGAUAACAAAUAUCUUAAUUCUGAGUUAACUCUUUAUUUGACAGUUUCACAUAAUAAUUUUGUAAUGCUUUUGAUAGAACGAGAAAAUUGAACAAAAAGUUGAAUGUUUUUCAACUCCUUAUAUCAAACGUCUGAUUGUCCUUUUCAUACAUAUCCUCUAUAUAAAUGAAACCUAAUUUUAAAAAAAAUCCUUAAAGGAAACUGAUAUAUUGUCGAUUUUAUAUAUCUGUAAUAGACGUUCUAUCAUUGUUUCCUUUUUGCACAACAAUAAAUGUUUUUCAACAGUGAAAGACAUCUUCCCC
rnacentral:sRNA from 1 species